UCGCACCUGAUGAUAAAUGUUUAGAAUUUAAUUGGUUAUUCUUGAUUCUUUACGACGUUUAUCUAACGGUAAUUAUCAGAUUUAUUUCAGUAUCUGACAUCUCCAUUUUAUUAAGGUCGAGAUGUGAAGUUUGAUAAAUCGCAAUAUCUAUUGGUCGUGAUAUUUUUAAAAUUUCUUAUGGGCAUCAAAUAUUUCUUAUAUUCGUAUUCCAACACUCAAACUCUUUAUAAUUCUCUGAAAAUAUGUAAAAAAAUUAUUCAGACAUUCGAACUUUACCUAAAUUGUUUGUUUCAAUUUCAAACUGACAUUUAGGAAACAUGAUGGGAUUAUAACUUUAUUUUGUCGAGAUAACUUGUGAAAACGUGAAACUAAUAGACAUUUGAAAUUAUAAUGUUUUGAUCCCAACUCAAAGUUUGAACAAACUAUGACCUGUUCGCUGUAAUCUCAAUUGGCUUCGUAUUUGAAGGGUGAAGUUUAUUUAACUUAUGAAAAGGAUUACAUUACAAAAUUUCCUGUGGAACAAAAGUUAUUUGUGUUACACGGAAAUAACAAGGGCUUCAAUCGAUGAAUACAAUAUGUCCGGAAAUAUGGUUAGGUAGAACUAGCAGUCGAAAAAGGGUUAGGUAUUAAUAAACCUUGAUCAACCAAAUAUUUCGCAUUUCAAGGGGGUAAAUAAAUACAAGAAGUGCAGACUUGAUCUUGACCUUGCGAACUAGAGGAGAAAAAAGUAUGAACAUUGACGACAGGCUUGGGUGGUCUAUGGUGGCGGAAGCAAUUGGGAAGACGCUCAGAAGGAGGCCGCCGAAAGGGAGUGCGAGGCACGAGCGAAAGCCUCUCCCCAUCGGCGGGAACGAGGAGACAGGCGAUGGGCACAAUACGCCCAUCGUCUGCCAGGAUAGUGCCGUAAGACUACGCCGGGGGUCGUCGUGGUAGAAUGCUUGCGAUCCCAUGGCGUCUCCAAUAACGGCAUGUGCGGAAACGCCGCAGGGGGUUUAGUGGGUAGUCCGGGCUAGGCCCGGGAAUCCCCCACACUGGCCUGGUGCCUAAACGCAUUCGCUCCCUGCGAAAACAAAAAAAAAGGUGGUGUAUCCUGGCGACGCGCGUGGCGGCAAUCGGGGCGCUGGCAGCGCAGACCAAAAAGUCGGCUGCGCACGCGCUGAGCAGCUGCGGCGUCCGUAGUCUAGCAGCUCCCCCUGAUGCCAGUGCCGCCAUCAGACUUACAUUACCUAAUACACGUGUCUUUUUCGCUAUGGAUUCCGAAAGUACUUUAUUUGCGCUUCUGCGGCAGUUGAUUGUGUUAAACGAUCACGAAAAAUAUCUGAAUUACAAUAACAAUUUUCUAAAACAUACUGGCCGAAAAGAAAACUGAGGAAAAUGAAGAAACCAUGGAAGAAACAGAACGGAUCAGAAAGUUUUAUUUCAGAAGUAACUCACCGAUA